rnacentral:sRNA from 1 species
UUUUCCAUACUUUAUAUGGUAUCAUAAAGCUGUAAGUUUUUUUCAAGUUAACGUUUAUGCUUUUUGUUACACGCUUUCCGAAGAUAAGAUUUACCAAACUAAAGAAAGGAUGUAUUCAAAUGGCACAAGGAACUGUAAAAUGGUUUAACGCUACUAAAGGUUUUGGCUUCAUUACAACUGAAGAAGGCAACGAUGUAUUCGUACACUUCUCAGCUAUUCAAACUGAUGGCUUCAAAACUCUUGAUGAAGGCCAAAAAGUUAGCUUUAAUCUUGAAGAAGGCCCACGUGGACCUCAAGCAAUCAACGUUACUAAAUAAUGGUAAUUAAAGCACCUUUACGGUGCUUUUUC